rnacentral:rRNA from 1 species
UACGUAGGGAGCGAGCGUUGUCCGGAUUCAUUGGGCGUAAAGAGCUCGUAGGCGGCUUGAUAAGUCGGAUGUGAAACCUCCAGGCUCAACCUGGAGUCGCCAUCCGAUACUGUCAUGGCUAGAGUCCGGUAGGGGCCCACGGAACUCCUGGCGUAGCGGUGAAAUGCGCAGAUAUCAGGAAGAACACCGGUGGCGAAGGCGGUGGGCUGGGCCGGCACUGACGCUGAGGAGCGAAAGCGUGGGGAGCGAACAGG